rnacentral:rRNA from 1 species
AACGAACGCUGGCGGCAGGCUUAACACAUGCAAGUCGAACGAGAUCUUCGGAUCUAGUGGCAGACGGGUGAGGAACACGUGGGAACAUCCCUUUCAGUUCGGAAUAACGUUGGGAAACUAACGCUAAUACCGGAUACGUCCUUCGGGAGAAAGAUUUAUCGCUGAAAGAUUGGCCCGCGUCUGAUUAGCUAGUUGGUGAGGUAAUGGCUCACCAAGGCUACGAUCAGUAGCUGAUCUGAGAGGAUGAUCAGCCACAUUGGGACUGAGACACGGCCCAAACUCCUACGGGAGGCAGCAGUGGGGAAUAUUGGACAAUGGGCGAAAGCCUGAUCCAGCAAUGCCGCGUGAGUGAUGAAGGCCUUAGGGUUGUAAAGCUCUUUUACCCGGGAUGAUAAUGACAGUACCGGGAGAGUAAGCCCCGGCUAACUCCGUGCCAGCCGCCGCCGUAA